rnacentral:rRNA from 1 species
AACGAACGCUGGCGGCAGGCUUAACACAUGCAAGUCGAACGCAUCCUUCGGGGUGAGUGGCAGACGGGUGAGUAACGCGUGGGAACGUGCCCUUCAGUUCGGGAUAACCCAGGGAAACGUGGGCUAAUACCGGAUACGUGCGAGAGCAGAAAGAUUUAUCGCUGAAGGAUCGGCCAGCGUCUGAGUAGCUAGUUGGUGGGGUAAUGGCCCACCAAGGCGACGAUCAGUAGCUGGUCUGAGAGGAUGAUCAGCCACAUUGGGACUGAGACACGGCCCAAACUCCUACGGGAGGCAGCAGUGGGGAAUAUUGGACAAUGGGCGCAAGCCGGAUCCAGCCAUGCCGCGUGAGUGAUGAAGGCCUUAGGGUUGUAAAGCUCUUUCGUCCGGGACGAUAAUGACGGUACCGGAAGAAGAAGCCCCGGCUAACUUCGUGCCAGCAGCCGCCGUAA